UAUUGGCUCUGUGCACGAUUACAGCGCCAACUAGCGUCCAUAACUUUGUGGGCUCUGUCACAUUGACAUUUAGGUCGUUUAUUUGUGAAAAAAUAUCGAAAUGAAAAAAUAACAAAUAUUUUCGACUAAUAAAUUGUUGUGAUACCACGAUUUGGAUGGAAAAAAGGUUUUGAAAUCAUUUUAGUCAUUCAAAUCAAAUGAGAUCGAAAUGAGUAUUGUUUUGAAGACCGGGUUUGUGAGUGUUACAAUAUCAAAUUCCAACCACAAACCGUAUUUAAAGGAAAGUUGUUGAUAUUGGCUGGACAAGUCCGAGAUGUAGAAGAAUUAAGAACAAAACAAGGGCAGAGUUCAAUAAUUCACGCUCUCAUCAUAAGGCAAACAUCUGUGCACAACAACUACUGUGACUCAUUUUUGUACUACCACGUUGUAUAGUCUAGUUAUUUCCAAAUUGUAAACGGCUUUUAAACCCCUUAUUUUCCUGUGUACCCUUGGCUGUUCCCUUGAUGGUACAGUGGAAAAUAAAUUUUAACCGUUGUACCCUUGGCCGUAAAACCCAACCAACUUAAAUUGUACACGUGACCAAGAGGACUAGCUUUUCUUGAAUUUGGCCAAAAAACAAAAACAAAUGAACAUCGAUAAAAACAAAUGAAGUAACAUGGAUGUAGAUAAAAGUAAAACCUAAUUAUAAUGUUCGGCUUUAUGUAAUGUUUUUUUUUUCUAUUUAUGUUCACCGAUUACUCCGUCAAUUGUGGACCGAUUUUCAACAUUCUUUUUUUUGUUCGAUAGGGUACACUUCUGAGGUGGUCCCAUUGUCACCAAGUCAGGAUCUGAUGAUGGGAUCCUAGGGAAAUCGAGGGCAACCCUUAAAUUUUAUAGGCACGUAUAUCGUUUUAUAUAUUUUAUUCUAAAGAUAUUCAAGUAUAUGCAUCUGGUAGUCAUCAUCUAAUGUUGAUGAGGUGAUGAUGGAAGGUAAAACUCCUUAAAAGUUAGGAGUUGGAGAAUAAUUCUUUAAAUAUUUUAGUCUAUAGUUUGCCAUUUUAAGUGUAAUCCUGUACCUAUUUUAGGAUUGAUAUUGAAUUGAACCUCUUUAAUGUAACCGUUUCUUUUUAGAUUACUAGUCAUUUAACUCGUGUAUUAUAAAUUUCUUAACUAGUGAAAAUUCCUUAGAAG